AAAGCUAGUAGCAUUGUGCCUUAUUUAGAUAUGUUGUGAAGGACCGUAACAACAAAAAGUUGAACUCUAGCAGAACAGUAUAAAUGAGCCUUUAAGGCUUGUGCAGUAGAAAGGCAGCAAAAAUGAUACAGCUAAGACAACAGGAGAAGCAACUAGAAUUCCAACAGNACUGUAGGAUACUAUAAGGAUGGGGAAGAUGCAGCCAUUUCUUGAAUACAAAAAAAAACCUUGCAGAGUUGAAGUUGCUUGAAUUUAGUAAAGGAUUUUAGUGUGUGAAAGCUGUGUUUAAGCAAAAACACUAAUGCUUUAGUUAGGAAAAAUUGAUCGAUGUUCUGGAUAAUAUUGUGAAAUACCAGGACAUGUUAAUUGUUUUUUUUUUUUUUGUUUUGUUUUUUUUGAAGCUGAGCUGAGUGCUUAAAGAAUUAUCUUGGAGACAAAGUUAUAGAAGUUUUCGCUGGGAUGAGUCCAAUGAGAGGAAAUGGAAAACUUAUUCAGAUGUACAUCCUUUCUUACUCUGUCUUACAACCUGCAGUCACGGUGUAUAGUACUUUCAGACAAUAUCUGUACAGCUCAGGUGGUGCUUGGUCAAAAAAUCCAGUAUCAAGGAGUUAGUGUGACCUGCUUGGUGACGUGUUCAUUUUGCACCCAGACUGUUAUCGCUUUGGCUAAUAGAUGUGGUGUGUUUUCUGUCUUAGUGAGCUGGUAUAACUAUCUAGAAAAAUUGACUGCUCCUAAACAUUUAUCCUAUUAUUGUGUAAAAUAAUCAUCGGCCUUUUAGAAAACUUGAGUACAAUUGUAGUCAACAAGAAAAAUCUAGUCAUACUGAUCUAAUUUUGUCUUGUAAUGCUUAUAGCUCCAAAUACCUUGUACUUGUAUCCUUAGUUCCAUUUUGAAGCCCCCCCUGGGGCUUUACCUAGUCAUUGGCCUCACAGGAGGGUAAGAAAGAAGAACAGAAAUCUGUCCCGUGAUGUAUUUUAUACUUCUGCCUGGAAAAGUUUUAUGGGGAAUUUUUCUCAAUACCUACAGCAGUGGGACCAUUGUUCUACAGCCUACCCUACAUUACACUGAAUAGAAACAUUUUGUCAUUCUUGUUGUCACUUAGAUGUAUUUUUAUAUUCUGACGUUGCUGUGGACUUUCAUCUGUUCGACAUCUAGAGCUUGCUGCUAAUGCAUAUAUAUAUUUGCUCUUCAAGUUUUUCCAGAUCUGUCAUUUACAAAAUGCAUCUGCUUUUGCACCAGCAAAGUACACAGUUGGUGCUCUCCAAUUAACUAAGGCAUGAUUUAAAAGAAUUUUGAUUAACAUCCAGUGUUUUCAUUAUGUUUUGGCAUAUUUUGAUUUGACAGUUUAAAAGCUCUAGCUCAGUACUUCCUUUGUGCAGUUUGGUGGCAUUUUUCUCCACCAACAAAAUUUAUAAAAACUGUAGAGUCCUGCUCCAUUUCAGGGUCCUCUGAAGUAUAGGUCUACUGGAUACAUAAUGUAUUCUGAGAAUUAGCAAACUUAAUUAGACAGCCUCUUAUUAGGAACCAAGAGCUUCCUAACAUCAUCUUAUACAGCCACAUUAUGCAAAGCCAGGUGGUUUUAGGCUCAGGUGUCCUUUUUGGGUACAGGUUCCUCCUACAUAGUUGAUUUGAUUGGAUUAAGGGCUGUUCCAGUCACAGCAGGAAUGUCCCUUUCAGGGUUGAAUAUUUAAGGCUGUGAGGCAGUGUUGUUUGUCUGCAGGUUGUUGGCUUUCUUCAGACCAUUUUCCUCAAGUGUGCCAUGUAUUGAUGCUAUGAUAGGCUGAAGGUAUCCUAGCAUUUUAAUUUUAUUUUUUUUUACUGUGAACUACAAAUGUCUUAUGUCUACAGUUUGNAGAUUAAGCAAAGCUGUAUGACCAGUGCUAUCUCAGGAGGAUGCUGAGUCAUUAACUCAUGUUUAUUGCCUCUUGCCAUCUUUAGAUUAUUGCAAUUU
ensembl:lncRNA